rnacentral:rRNA from 1 species
GACGAACGCUGGCGGCGUGCUUAACACAUGCAAGUCGAACGGUGAAGCUCCAGCUUGCUGGAGUGGAUCAGUGGCGAACGGGUGAGUAACACGUGAGCAACCUGCCCCAGACUCUGGAAUAAGCGCUGGAAACGGCGUCUAAUACUGGAUACGAAACUGGCCCGCAUGGGCAUGGUUUGGAAAGUUUUUCGGUUUGGGAUGGGCUCGCGGCCUAUCAGCUUGUUGGUGAGGUAAUGGCUCACCAAGGCGACGACGGGUAGCCGGCCUGAGAGGGCGACCGGCCACACUGGGACUGAGACACGGCCCAGACUCCUACGGGAGGCAGCAGUGGGGAAUAUUGCACAAUGGGCGAAAGCCUGAUGCAGCGACGCCGCGUGAGGGAUGACGGCCUUCGGGUUGUAAACCUCUUUCAGCAGGGAAGAAGCGAAAGUGACGGUACCUGCAGAAGAAGCACCGGCUAACUACGUG